rnacentral:rRNA from 1 species
UACGUAGGGCGCAAGCGUUGUCCGGAAUUAUUGGGCGUAAAGAGCUCGUAGGCGGCUUGUCACGUCGAUUGUGAAAGCCCGAGGCUUAACCUCGGGUCUGCAGUCGAUACGGGCUAGCUAGAGUGUGGUAGGGGAGAUCGGAAUUCCUGGUGUAGCGGUGAAAUGCGCAGAUAUCAGGAGGAACACCGGUGGCAAAGGCGGAUCUCUGGGCCAUUACUGACGCUGAGGAGCGAAAGCGUGGGGAGCGAACAGG